UAGGGAAUCUUCCACAAUGGACGCAAGUCUGAUGGAGCAACGCCGCGUGAGUGAAGAAGGGUUUCGGCUCGUAAAGCUCUGUUGUUAAAGAAGAACGUGGGUAAGAGUAACUGUUUACCCAGUGACGGUAUUUAAUCAGAAAGCCACGGCUAACUACGUGCCAG
rnacentral:rRNA from 1 species